ACUUUACUCUUUCUACCGUUAACACUUUACACCGCUUUCCAUUCUCUAUAAAUUAAGCACUCACUCACUUGUCACCCUCCCAACUCACCACCGCAACAGCCACCGGCAAAUCACAGACCCAUUUCCCAUACUUAUGGAGAUGAAUAUAACUGGUGGCUAAAAGAAAAAAGAAAAAUAUUUUCAGCGCUCUGUUCAAAGACAGACAAGAAUGUCAGGUUUCAGAGCAACUUUCUUUUAUUUGAUAAUAGUGCUUUUGGACUAUACUAUAGGAGCAGAAUCAGGAAUAGGAGUAAACUGGGGAACGGUGUCGUUUCGAAAGCUGAAGCCAUCAACAGUUGUGGAUCUGUUAAAAGAUAACAAUAUACAGAAAGUGAAGUUAUUUGAUACAGACCCAGAUGUGAUGAAAGCUUUAGUGGGCAGUGGCAUUCAAGUUAUGGUCGGCAUUCCUAAUGAGAUGUUGGCUUCUCUUAGCUCUUCUACUGCUGUUUCUGAUAUGUGGGUUCGUCAGAAUAUUUCCACUUAUUUGGUUAAAGGUGGUGUUGAUAUCAGGUACAUCGCUGUAGGAAAUGAACCAUUUCUUUCAAGUUACUCCGGUCAAUUUCAAUCCUAUGUGGUCCCCGCUCUGCAAAAUCUUCAGCAGUCUUUGGCUAAAGCAAAUCUUGCUGGUUAUGUGAAGCUGGUGGUCCCUUGCAAUGCUGAUGCAUACGAAUCCUCCCUUCCUUCUCAAGGAACAUUCCGACCUGAGUUAACAGAUAUUAUGACUCAGCUUGUUUCCUUCCUCAAUUCUAACGGUUCACCUUUUGUUGUCAAUAUAUACCCAUUUCUUAGCCUCUAUGGGAGCACAGAUUUUCCACAAGACUAUGCAUUUUUUGGAGGGAGUACCCAUCCUGUUACAGAUGGGAAUAAUGUUUAUGACAAUGCAUUUGAUGGGAAUUUUGAUACCUUAGUUGCAGCCCUCAGUAAAAUUGGAUAUGGUCAGAUGCCUAUAGUUAUUGGGGAGGUGGGUUGGCCAACUGAUGGAGCCAUCAGUGCAAACCUUACUGCCGCAAGAGCAUUCAAUCAGGGCCUCAUAAAACAAGUUUUGAGUAACAAAGGCACCCCUCUUAGGCCAGGUUCUCCACCCUUGGAUAUUUAUCUUUUCAGUCUACUUGAUGAAGGGGCGAAGAGCACUCUCCCAGGGAAUUUUGAAAGGCAUUGGGGGAUUUUCUCCUUUGAUGGCCAGGCUAAAUAUUCAUUGAACCUUGGUUUGGGCAACAGGUUAUUAAAGAAUGCAAGAAAUGUUCAGUAUCUUCCGUCUAGAUGGUGUGUGGCAGACCCUGCAAAAGAUCUGUCUAAUGUGGCAAACCACUUGAGAAUUGCCUGUAGUGUUGCAGAUUGCACAACACUUAAUUAUGGGGGAUCAUGCAAUGAAAUUGGAGCAAAGGGAAAUAUCUCUUAUGCAUUCAACAGUUACUAUCAGCUUCAGGAUCAGGACGCACAAAGCUGUGAUUUCGAUGGGCUUGGCAUGGUGACUUUUUUAGAUCCAUCAGUUGGUGAUUGCAGGUUUCUUGUUGGUGUUACUGAUACUAGUUCUUCAGAUUUUAGACUGUAUCAUAGGUGGACUGUCAUUUGCAGUUGGACGCUGUGGGGGAUGUUGGUCUUUCUAAUAUAAGAAGUUUCCUUAAGUGGGUUUUUCAGGGUCCCCUCUUUUGAAACUAUUAGUGGUAUACAUAGGUGCGAACGUACACGUGAAAACUUCAUUGAUUCUUCAAUUGGAGAAGCAACAGCCAUCUCCACAGCAGGCCUUUCCACAUCAGAGGUUUGGAACCCGUCGAACGGAAAAGCAGCAGCAACAACCUUCAAGUUAAUAUCACACCAAUCGUUAGUACAUUGCAACUGGUAGUAAUGCAAAAUCUGGAGCUUUUUUUCUAGAACACGUGGGAUUGAGCUGUUUUCCUUUUCUUUUUUAUUUGCCCCUAAUCAAUAUAAUAAGAAAUGAAUCUCUCUUUGUUUACUAAUUCAUUUAGUUUUCCUUUUA